rnacentral:rRNA from 1 species
CCUACGGGUGGCAGCAGUGAGGAAUAUUGGUCAAUGGCCGGAAGGCUGAACCAGCCAUGCCGCGUGAAGGUCAGUGCCCUAUGGGCGUUAAACUUCUUUUGUGCGGGAGCAAUAAUGGUCACGUGUGGCCAGACGAGAGUACCGUACGAAUAAGCAUCGGCUAACUCCGUGCCAGCAGCCGCGGUAAUACGGGGGAUGCAAGCGUUAUCCGGAUUUAUUGGGUUUAAAGGGUGCGUAGGCUGUGAGGUAAGUCAGCGGUGAAAUGCCCCCGGUCAACGGGGUGAAGUGCCAUUGAUACUGCCUUGCUGGAAUGCGGAUGCCGGGGGAGGAAUGUGUGGUGGAGCGGGGAAAUGCAUAGAUAUCACACAGAACACCGAUUGCGAAGGCAUGUCACGAAUCCGCGAUUGACGCUGAUGCACGAAAGCGUGGGUAUCAAACAGGAUUAGAUACCCCAGUAGUC